AACGAACGCUGGCGGCAUGCCUAACACAUGCAAGUCGAACGAGACCUUCGGGUCUAGUGGCGCACGGGUGCGUAACGCGUGGGAACCUGCCCUUAGGUUCGGAAUAACUCCCCGAAAGGGGUGCUAAUACCGGAUAAUGUCUUCGGACCAAAGAUUUAUCGCCUUUGGAUGGGCCCGCGUUGGAUUAGCUAGUUGGUAGGGUAAAAGCCUACCAAGGCGACGAUACAUAGCUGGUCUGAGAGGAUGAUCAGCCACACUGGGACUGAGACACGGCCCAGACUACUACGGGAGGCAGCAGUGGGGAAUAGUGGAAAAUGGGCGAAAGCCUGAUACAGCAAUGCCGCGUGAGAGAUGAAGGCCUUAGGGUAGUAAAGCUCUUUUAACCGGGAUGAUAAUGACAGUACCGGGAGAAUAAGCUCCGGCUAACUACGUG
rnacentral:rRNA from 1 species